rnacentral:rRNA from 1 species
GAUGAACGCUAGCUACAGGCUUAACACAUGCAAGUCGAGGGGUAACAAGAGGAAAGCUUGCUUUUCUUGUUGACGACCGGCGCACGGGUGAGUAACGCGUAUCCAACCUGCCUAUAACUAGGGAAUAACCUUGCGAAAGUAAGACUAAUACCCUAUGAUUUCCUUUGAUGACAUCAGAUUAGGAAUAAAGAUUUAUCGGUUAUAGAUGGGGAUGCGUCUGAUUCGCUUGUUGGCGGGGUAACGGCCCACCAAGGCCACGAUCAGUAGGGGUUAUGAGAGGAAGGUCCCCCACCAUGGGAAUGAAACACGGUCCAAACUCCUACGGGAGGCCGGAGUGAGGAAUAUUGGUCAAUGGGCGGAAGACUGAACCAGCCAUGUAGCGUGCAGGAUGACGGCCCUAUGGGUUGUAAACUGCUUUUAUACAGGAAUAAAGUUAGCCACGUGUGGUUAUUUGUAGGUACUGUAUGAAUAAGGACCGGCUAAUUCCGUGCCAGCCGCCGCCGUAA